CCUUCCUCGCAGUCACGGCUCAAGGUACAGCCGAUACGAAGCGCCACGGGUUACGACGCUAAUAAUCAAUCGAAUUAGUUUUAAUGUACGAUGGUCCUUUUUUCAAUAGUGAAUUUUGAAAUAAUGUUACAAUAAAAGAUAUAAUUGACAUAAAGCUUGUUCGAUACAUAUCUUGAUGAUUUAAAGGCAAAUUAAAGGCAAAAGAAAAAGACAGUGUUCAUAAAUUUACAUUUAAUAUUCUCUUGCAAAGCUAUUGCAUCCUGUAACACGGACACAAAAAGCCCGGAACAAAGGAGAGGAUGAAUUCAACUAGCAUUACGAAAUAAAUUUUACUAAAAAUUGAAAGUCCCUAUCAAAGUAUUAAAAUAAAAAGCUAAGUGAAAAAUAUAUUUAUACAUAUUACUUUAUAUUAUUAAUAGUAACUAAACGAAUCUUCUAAUAUAAACUCAAACAGAAAUAUUAUGAAACAACCCUUAACAUUUAAUUAUCCCCUGAGAAUCUUUUAUUUCCCUUACACUGCUCGCAGCUAAAGGUUACCCUGAUUCCUUUCUAUUUCUAGACCAAUGUACCAUGAAGCUACAGAGAUGGUUCAAUAAUAAUUAUUAACAAAAAAACUAUGAGGUAUUUCCAUUUAAUCCAAGCUUAUUUAAGCGAAAAUCUUUAAACGUUAUCUGUCCAAUGAUCUGUCUAUAUGAUAUAAUAAUCAAAAGGCAAAAGAGCUAUUUCAUUCUUUCAAGUUCUUCAGCUUUGCAUGUAUGCGUUUCAAUGCAAAUAACAGAGAUUGCCACUUAUUUCUUCUCAUUCUUUUUCUUUUUUAACGAAUCUAGAUACAAAGUUUUAAGCAUUCUUGAAGUAUAGCUAACGAUUAAUUAAAUCUUCAUAUAUUUUAAAAAACAGUAUUGCUUUAAAUAAUAAACAAAUAAAACCAUCAUUCUCCCAAGACGAAGAAAAAAAUCAAGAAAGCAAUUUCUCAUAUUAUCAUGGAAAUAUUCCAAGAUAUUGAGAAUUGUAGUUUACAAUCGAAAAGAAAAAAAUUCAUUUCACGAGCAUCUCCAUCUUCGUGAAUAAGAAAUCAUGUCCCAGAUAUCACGAAGAAAGUUAACGAUCCAGCGCGCAUGUUCAGCCCGGUUGAUCGACGUUUCGAACUUUUCAUUCGUCGAGGCGCAAUCGAAUCGUCGAAAGCUACUUCCGGCAUCUCAGCCCGCCGGAAAGCUUCUCCCGUGACGGGAUCCGGUGCAGCAAUCGCGCAGUUUCGCGCUGGUUCCUCCGAUUCGGCACAGCUGAGCCGACUUCGGCAUUGCUCGGCCACAAUCGUAGACGAUGCAUCGAUUUUUCCUUCAUUCGCUGCUGCUGCUGCAGCCACGGUGCAUUGCUUUUGCACCGUGACCGCGUUGACACUUGCCAACUUUCCUUUCCAAGCCUUUCCUCUCUAUAUUCGCAUCGUCUUUCUUUUUUUUCUUUCUUCCUCGUUCCUUAACGAGAUUUAAAAUAGGAAAUAAAACGUGAUGGAUGAAAUGUAGGGAAUGUAUAGGAUAAAAAAUAAUGAGAAUGGAUUGAUUGGAUUUUGUUGUAAUGGUUUUAAAAUUAGAUAUUAAUGUAGUUCCACGCGAAUCUGAAAUGUUUUUUAUUGAUUGAAAAGUUGUAAGGUCGGUUUAUUUCGCGGCUUCAUUAAAAAUAUUGCUUUUAAUUACCGAUGAGAAAGUUUCUUUUUUUCCAGAGACCAAGGAAGCUGUAUAACCAUUAGUGUUAAUCAAUUUCCACGAGGAUUUAUUGCCCCUUUACGAAGAACUUUUUAAACUCAUUUAUUUUUUCUCUUAUGAGAAACUUCUUCACCGUUUCAUCACUCUAUACUCUAAUGAUAGACACUUUUAAAUUUAUGAUGUGACUAAAACGUGAAUAAACACUAUGUAUCAAAGAACAGUACGAAAAAUCUCAUCAAAGAAGAAAAUUAUUAGAAACAAAAGGAAAUAAUUGUAAAAGAUAGAUUAGGGUCAAGUAAGGUGAAGUUCAGCGGUAAAAAUGAAAAGAAGGUGCAGGUGGAGAUGGAUCAAAGUAAUUUUAAAUAACCGUGCGACUGGUUUCUCGAGAUUUCACGCUGGUUCCUGACAGGUAAUGCCCUCGGGACGCACAUGGAAAAAAAGCAAAUGGAAACCUAAUGUAUCGCCUCAGACGGACCUGUCAUUGAAACUGAUCAUUCCACGCGGGAGGUACGGGUCCUUGCGUCUUAUUCAUGACCGACUACUUCUGGCCAAUCAUCUUGCAUUCUGAAUGGGCCACCUGCAGUUACAGAGAGAAGGGAUGCAUGAUAAACUCGAACCGUUUGACCAGGUUGUUACCUAAUCCUUUUUAUUGGGCACCGAUCGAACCACGUCAAUCGUAUCUGACCUCCUCGAUCACAGAUUCGUUUCAUCGUUUUGUAGAUGACGAAGAUAAAGAUAGAUUAGUCCAGAACUUCUUUCUUCGAGCAGAUAAUGGACAAUGCAACGUUUUAUCGUGCACAGAUUUUCGUAUGAAAAGAUAAGAAGCGCAGAAGGGGAAAGUCACAUGAAUCAAUGUAUGUAGAAAGAUAAGGAUUGUUCAAGGACAGUGGAGUUUAAAGGUAGCUCAAAGUAUUCUCAGACAAACGGUGAACUCCACGUCUCAAUUUCUAUGGGCUCGAAAUAUAUGCAUUAGGAAAGUCAUAUUUUACGUUCGAUAGGUUCCACGACAAAGAGAAAACAUGAAAAAAGAAAAUGAUGAAAAAGGGAAGAACGAACGCGGUCGUUCAAAGACACAUCGAUAUUCCCCAUGCUCUCCAUCUUGUCGUCACGAUAUAAAAUACCGGCUAAAAAAGGAGCGCUGAAUGGCCGAUACCCGACUAAAAACCGGACUUGCUCUCGUUACACGAAGCCAAAGAAACGAAGCAGUUGGCUGCAGCACGGUGCAGGUGGGUUGCCAGAUGGCCAGAACGGAAACAGUGAAUGAAGGAACGAAAAGAAACGAAAGGAACACCGUUCAUCACGAAUACGCGACAAGACAAACGCGACCGCGCGAACCGAAUACCAAUUUCGAGUUCCUGUCGCGCGAUUCUGGGCAUUUAUUCUCAUUUUGUUCAACACGUUGUAAAAUUCCACACAAUUAUAAAGAACAGAAAAAAAUUGAUUUAAAUGUGAUAAUGGAAUUGAGAUUUAUUUUUAUAGGAAAUUUAUACAUAUAUAAAAUCUUUUUAUACUUUUUUUUUUUUUUUAUAUUUUAGAAUUAUUGGGAUUGAAUUAAUAUAAAGUAUAUUUUUAUGUGAUAAUAUUUUUUAAUUAAUAAUACGCUGUUAUUAAUUAAUUUUUAUUUUUCAUUUACUUUUUCAUAUUUAAUUAUUUCAAAAGUGUUUUUUAGUUGUAAAGUAAAAAUAUAAAAAAAGAGGAGGGAUUGGUGGUUCCGACCGGGAUCGAACCGGCGACCUUCUGCGUGUAAAGCAGACGUGAUAACCGCUACACCACGGAACCUCUUGAUAUCGAGAUUUUUAUUAACAUAAUUCAUUUUAUUUUAAGAAUUUUUUUUAAAUACUUUUAAAUUAUUAUAAUUUAAUAUCAUAUAACAUUCGAUUGAUUAUUAUUGUCAAUCAAUUUAACUUAUGCUUAUUCUAUUUUUCUCGUAAAAUAGCAUUUAGAAUUGAAUAUAAUAAUUAUAACUAUUGUUAUAAAUACCAUGACACUAAUAUUAUAGAAUUUAGUAAAUUUAGUUUACUAAAAGUAUAUCAAAUUUUAUUAUAUGUAUUAUAUGUACAGUAAUAAAUUAUAAAAAGUGCAAAAAUUAAAUAUAAAAAUCUAAAAA